AUUGACCGAACCACGUUAAAUCUUUGUCUUUUGGUAUAUUUCCCGUUGUCUUCUUACUCGUGGUCUUUCGAGGUUUGCUUUGCUAGCUUCCGCAUUUACACCUGCUUAUUUUUAGUCCUAAGAGGUAAGUGUAUGACUUAAACAAUUAUUACACUUCAAAUGCAUUAUGGGUGCUGUUUUUUAUUAGAUCCUGAACUCAGGUAUAUUAAUGGAAUUCCUGAUCAUGAAAAAAUAAGAACCAAUAUGGAUGGGUUUCAUAUUAUGUUUUUUCAUAAAUUAGCUAGAUAAUCGUGAGUUGAAAAAGUUGAAACCUUUGGGUGAAAAGUUUAAAAAAGAUGUGAUUUUUAUAUGUUUAAAAGUGAUUCUGAUGUGUUGAGAUUUAUUAACAACUUAAAGGGUGGGGACUUUGUUGAUGUGUAUGUGGUACAUCAAAUUAGUACUCCUUUAAUUGUUGAGGAUCCUACUGAGGUGCAAAUAGCUCAAUUGCUUACUCCAAAAAAAAGUCACCCUCCCCACCUAUUGUUAUAAAUGUUAGAGCUAAUGUGUCUUUCCCUCAACCAUUUGAUAAAACUGAUACAAAUAGAAAAGAAAAUCAGCAUAGACAAGGGUAAGAAUAAGGAGGUUGCUGCUCCUGAGGUUUCUUUAGAGGACUUAGAGGAAGAUGAAGGUGAAGGUGAAGGGUCUUAACCUAGCAUUUGGUGAUUUAUCAAAUCCUGAUAUUUGAUGGUGCGCUAGAUAUAUAUGGGUCAACUAGAAGAAUGUAUGAAGAGCUGAAAAAAAGAGGAAAAAUUUUUGCCAGGUUGCCAGGGCUUCAUUUGAAGUUUAUUUAUUAUCAAAAUUUGAUGAACUGAGUCUGUUGGGAGAAGGUAUUAUGAAUUCUUCGUUAAAGUACAAUAAAAAUGCAUGGUGUAGGGCAUUAUUCAAGGAACAUAACACGUGUGACAUUGUUGAAAAUAAUAUGUGUGAGAUAUUCAAUAGUUAGAUCUUCACAACUAGAUUCAAAUUAAUUAUCACAAUGUUAGAGAAAAUUAGAGUCAAAGUCAUGAAAAUAAUGAUUCAAAUGAGGGAGCUUUCUGAAAAAUGAAUAACUGAUGUGUCACGUAUAGCUAUGCAAAUUCUUAGUGACAAAGCUGAAUAUGUAGCCAUAUGUGAGGUUAAAUUUAAUGGAGAUAAUGACUAUGAGAUUCACCAUCCACCAUAUAGACAUAUUAUCCAAAAAGAAAGUGUGUAGUUAUAGGUCUAGCAUAUGAAGGGAAUUCCUUGUACAUAAGCAAUUACUACAAUGCAUUACAAAGAUCUAGAUGUUGAGUAAUUUGUUGAUCACUAUUACAAAAAGGAAACAUAUUUGAAAGCCUACAGUAAGUUCAUUCAACCUACGAUAAACAUGAAGAUGUGGCUCAAGAGCACGAGACCAUCCAUUGAGCCACCUGAACCACUCUUAUGCCAUGAAGGCAAGGAAAAAAAGGUCUAAAGAUAGUCAUGAGCUUAGUAACAAGAAGUUUGAAAAGGCUACAAGAAAGGGGAGAAAAAUGAUGUGCAAGAAUUUUGGACAUAACAAGAAAGGACAUUCAAUUUCUAAAAAUGACACAGCUGGAAGUGGUGGUGCAACUACUUCAAUAACUUCUACAGGUGUAGCUGGUGGUACUAUAGGUGAAGUGUGGUACAACUACUUCAGCAACUACUACAGGUGUAACUGGUAAUGCUAUUAGUGGUGCUACUAGUGGAAGUGGUGGUGCAACUACUUCAGCAGCUUCUACAAGUGUAACUGCUGGUGAAAGUGGUGAUGCAACUACUAGAAGAGCAGCCACUACUUCAGCAGUUUCUGGAGGUGCAACUACUGUUGCAACAACUACCGUUGAAAGUGCUAUAAAUAUUUCUGUAAAUUUUGCAAGUGUUGCUCAACCAACAAGUCAAUUUAGUAUUCAACAGUCAACUACUAAUGCUAGUGGCUCAAAGAAGAGUAGCAAAGUUAAAAAAGUGGUGCAAAUCUCGAAUAUAAGAGGCCAAGAACUUAGAAGCCAACAACAGCUGAUUUGAGCAAAUGGUAGUGUGAUUGAGAGGGUAAGUAUUAUCAUUUAAGGACCUUUAGUUUGAUUCUAUAGAAUCUCUAACUAAUAUCAUUAUUGUCUUGUAAUAGUCUGGUACUACUGAUAAUGUAUUACAUUAUGCACCAUUGAUGAGUUUAGUGCCUAUUAAUAUUUGGUUACAAACCCAAUAGACUAAGGUGGAAGGGUGGAGCUGCAGUUACUCAAAGGCAGCUACAAGAAAAAAGUUACA